rnacentral:pre_miRNA from 1 species
GAGACACCCUUCUGGGGCAAGACUUGCUUCAGUGGGGCUUUGGUGCUCACUGAGUCUGACCCCUGGGUGUGUCCCU